rnacentral:rRNA from 1 species
AGGCUACUGCUAUUGGAGUUCGAUUAAGCCAUGCGAGUCUAAGGGAUCUUCGGAUCCCUGGCAUAAUGCUCAGUAACACGUGGAUAAUCUACCCUCAGGUGGGGCAUAAACCCGGGAAACUGGGGCCAAUUCCCCAUAGAUACAGAUGGCUGGAAUGCUUCUGUAUUCAAAGCUCCGGCGCCUGAGGAUGGGUCUGCGGCCUAUCAGGUUGUAGUCAGGGUCAAGACCUGACUAGCCAGCGACGGGUAUGGGGUGUGAGAGCACUUGCCCAGAGAUGGUUUCUGAGACACGAAACCAGGCCCUACGGGGCGCAGCAGGCGCGAAAACUUCGCAAUGCGGGAAACCGUGACGAGGGAACUCCAAGUGUCUAUGCAUUGCAUAGACUGUUUUUUAGCCUAAAUAGCUAUUAGAGUAAGGGGUGGGCAAGACCGGUGCCAGCCGCCGCGGUAACACCGGCACCUCGAGUGGUAGCCACUAUUAUUGGGCCUAAAGCGUUCGUAGCCGGUUUGGUAAAUUCUUGGGUAAAUCGUACCGCUUAACGGUGCGAAUUCCGGGGACACUACCAGACUUGAGACCGGGGGAGAUCAGAGGUACUUGUGGGGGAGCGGUGAAAUGUUGUAAUCCCACAGGGACCACCAGUGGCGAAGGCGUCUGAUCAGAACGGCUCUGACGGUGAGGAACGAAACCCUGGGGCGCAAACGGGAUUAGAUACCCCGGUAGUCCAGGGCGUAAACGCUGCUGACUUGGUGUUGGGGAUCCUACGAGGAUGUCCAGUGCUGGCGCGAAGGUAUUAAGUCAGCCGCCUGGGGAGUACGGUCGCAAGACUGAAACUUAAAGGAAUUGGCGGGGGAGCACUGCAACGUGUGGAGCGUGCGGUUU